rnacentral:rRNA from 1 species
CCGCCUGGGGAGUACGGGUGAGGUAACGGCUCACCAAGGCGACGACGGGUAACCGGCCUGAGAGGGUGACCGGUCACACUGGGACUGAGACACGGCCCAGACUCCUACGGGAGGCAGCAGUGGGGAAUAUUGCACAAUGGGCGCAAGCCUGAUGCAGCAACGCCGCGUGAGGGAUGACGGCCUUCGGGUUGUAAACCUCUUUUAGCAGGGAAGAAGCGAAAGUGACGGUACCUGCAGAAAAAGCACCGGCUAACUACGUGCCAGCAGCCGCGGUAAUACGUAGGGUGCAAGCGUUGUCCGGAAUUAUUGGGCGUAAAGAGCUCGUAGGCGGUUUGUCACGUCUGCUGUGAAAAUCCAAGGCUCAACCUUGGACUUGCAGUGGGUACGGGCAGGCUAGAGUGCGGUAGGGGAGAUGGGAAUUCCUGGUGUAGCGGUGGAAUGCGCAGAUAUCAGGAGGAACACCAAUGGCGAAGGCACAUCUCUGGGCCGUAACUGACGCUGAGGAGCGAAAGCGUGGGGAGCGAACAGGAUUAGAUACCCUGGUAGUCCACGCCGUAAACGGUGGGUGCUAGCUGUGGGCCACAUUCCACGUGGUCCGUGACGAAGUUAACACAUUAAGCACCCCGCCUGGGGAGUACGG